GACGAACGCUGGCGGCGUGCUUAACACAUGCAAGUCGAACGGUGAAGCUGGAGCUUGCUCCGGUGGAUUAGUGGCGAACGGGUGAGUAACACGUGAGCAAUCUGCCCUUGACUCAGGGAUAACUGCGGGAAACUGUAGCUAAUACCGGAUAUGAGGCUUGGAGGCAUCUCCAGGUCUGGAAAGAAUUUCGGUCAAGGAUGAGCUCGCGGCCUAUCAGCUAGUUGGUGAGGUAAUGGCUCACCAAGGCGACGACGGGUAGCCGGCCUGAGAGGGUGACCAGCCACACUGGGACUGAGACACGGCCCAGACUCCUACGGGAGGCAGCAGUGGGGAAUAUUGCACAAUGGGCGAAAGCCUGAUGCAGCAGCGCCGCGUGAGGGACGAAGGCCUUCGGGUUGUAAACCUCUUUUAGCAGGGAAGAAGCGAAAGUGACGGUACCUGCAGAAAAAGCACCGGCUAACUACGUGCCAGCCGCCGCCGUAA
rnacentral:rRNA from 1 species